rnacentral:rRNA from 1 species
ACGGGAGGCAGCAGUGGGGAAUAUUGGACAAUGGGCGCAAGCCUGAUCCAGCCAUGCCGCGUGAGUGAUGAAGGCCCUAGGGUUGUAAAGCUCUUUCGCACGCGACGAUAAUGACGGUAGCGUGAGAAGAAGCCCCGGCUAACUUCGUGCCAGCAGCCGCGGUAAUACGAAGGGGGCUAGCGUUGUUCGGAAUCACUGGGCGUAAAGGGCGCGUAGGCGGCCGAUCAAGUCGGGGGUGAAAGCCUGUGGCUCAACCACAGAAUGGCCUUCGAUACUGUUUGGCUUGAGACCGGAAGAGGUCAGUGGAACUGCGAGUGUAGAGGUGAAAUUCGUAGAUAUUCGCAAGAACACCAGUGGCGAAGGCGGCUGACUGGUCCGGUUCUGACGCUGAGGCGCGAAAGCGUGGGGAGCAAACAGGAUUAGAUACCCUGGUA